rnacentral:rRNA from 1 species
AUUGAACGCUGGCGGCAGGCCUAACACAUGCAAGUCGAGCGGAUGAAGGGAGCUUGCUCCUGGAUUCAGCGGCGGACGGGUGAGUAAUGCCUAGGAAUCUGCCUGGUAGUGGGGGAUAACGUCCGGAAACGGGCGCUAAUGCCGCAUACGUCCUGAGGGAGAAAGUGGGGGAUCUUCGGACCUCACGCUAUCAGAUGAGCCUAGGUCGGAUUAGCUAGUUGGUGGGGUAAAGGCCUACCAAGGCGACGAUCCGUAACUGGUCUGAGAGGAUGAUCAGUCACACUGGAACUGAGACACGGUCCAGACUCCUACGGGAGGCAGCAGUGGGGAAUAUUGGACAAUGGGCGAAAGCCUGAUCCAGCCAUGCCGCGUGUGUGAAGAAGGUCUUCGGAUUGUAAAGCACUUUAAGUUGGGGGGAAGGGCAGUAAGUUAAUACCUUGCUGUUUUGACGUUACCAACAGAAUAAGCACCGGCUAACUUCGUG